AUUGAACGCUGGCGGCAGGCUUAACACAUGCAAGUCGAACGGUAGCAGGAGAAAGCUUGCUUUCUUGCUGACGAGUGGCGGACGGGUGAGUAAUGUUUGGGAAUCUGGCUUAUGGAGGGGGAUAACGACGGGAAACUGUCGCUAAUACCGCGUAGUGUCGAGAGACGAAAGUGCGGGACCGCAAGGCCGCAUGCCAUGAGAUGAGCCCAAGUGGGAUUAGGUAGUUGGUGGGGUAAAGGCCUACCAAGCCUGCGAUCUCUAGCUGGUCUGAGAGGAUGACCAGCCACACUGGAACUGAGACACGGUCCAGACUCCUACGGGAGGCAGCAGUGGGGAAUAUUGCGCAAUGGGGGGAACCCUGACGCAGCCAUGCCGCGUGAAUGAAGAAGGCCUUCGGGUUGUAAAGUUCUUUCGGUAUUGAGGAAGGAGUGUAUGUUAAUAGCAUACAUUAUUGACGUUAAAUACAGAAGAAGCACCGGCUAACUCCGUGCCAGCAGCCGCGGUAAUACGGAGGGUGCGAGCGUUAAUCGGAAUAACUGGGCGUAAAGGGCACGCAGGCGGUUAUUUAAGUGAGGUGUGAAAGCCCCGGGCUUAACCUGGGGAUAGCAUUUCAGACUGGGUAACUAGAGUACUUUAGGGAGGGGUAGAAUUCCACGUGUAGCGGUGAAAUGCGUAGAGAUGUGGAGGAAUACCGAAGGCGAAGGCAGCCCCUUGGGAAUGUACUGACGCUCAUGUGCGAAAGCGUGGGGAGCAAACAGG
rnacentral:rRNA from 1 species